rnacentral:rRNA from 1 species
AAUACGAAGGGACCUAGCAUAGUUCGGAAUUACUGGGCUUAAAGAGUUCGUAGGUGGUUGAAAAAGUUAGUGGUGAAAUCCCAGAGCUUAACUCUGGAACUGCCAUUAAAACUUUUCAGCUAGAGUAUGAUAGAGGAAAGCAGAAUUUCUAGUGUAGAGGUGAAAUUCGUAGAUAUUAGAAAGAAUACCAAUUGCGAAGGCAGCUUUCUGGAUCAUUACUGACACUGAGGAACGAAAGCAUGGGUAGCGAAGAGGAUUAGAUACCCUCGUAGUCCAUGCCGUAAACGAUGUGUGUUAGACGUUGGAAAUUUAUUUUCAGUGUCGCAGCGAAAGCGAUAAACACACCGCCUGGGGAGUACGACCGCAAGGUUAAAACUCAAAUGAAUUGACGGGGACCCGCACAAGUAGUGGAGCAUGUGGUUUAAUUCGAAGAUACGCGCAGAACCUUACCAACACUUGACAUGUUCGUCGCGACUCUAAGAGAUUAGAGUUUUCGGUUCGGCCGGACGAAACACAGGUGCUGCAUGGCUGUCGUCAGCUCGUGUCGUGAGAUGUUGGGUUAAGUCCCGCAACGAGCGCAACCCUCACUUUUAGUUGCCAUCAUUAAGUUGGGCACUCUGAAAGAACUGCCAGUGAUAAGCUGGAGGAAGGUGGGGAUGACGUCAAGUCCUCAUGGCCCUUACGUGUUGGGCUACACACGUGCUACAAUGGUAUCUACAACAGGAAGCAAGACUGCGAGGUCAAGCAAAUCCUUAAAAGAUACCUCAGUUCGGAUUGCACUCUGCAACUCGAGUGCAUGAAGCUGGAAUUACUAGUAAUCGUGGAUCAGCGUGCCACGGUGAAUGCGUUCCCGGGUCUUGUACACACCGCCCGUCACACCAUGGGAGUUGGUUCUACCUUAAGGCAAGGUUUAAAACCCUUGACCACGGUAUAGUCAGC